UGAGUACGAGACGCUAAGGCGUCGAAGUAGUGGAUGUCAUACUUCCAAGAAAACAUUGCACUGUCAUAAAUAAAAGAUGCCUGUACCAUAACCGACACAGGUGGGUAAGUAGAGUAUACUAAGGGGCGCGAGAUAACUCUCUCUAAGGAACUCGGCAAAAUAACUCCGUAACUUCGGGAGAAGGAGUGCCUUAUUCUUAAGGUUGCAAUAACAAGAUCCAAGCAACUGUUUAUCAAAAACACAGGUCUCCGCUAAGUCGUAAGACGAUGUAUGGGGGCUGACGCCUGCCCAGUGCCAGAAGGUUAAAGAAGUCGGUUAGCAAUAGCAAAGCUGGUAACUGAAGCCCUGGUGAACGGCGGCCGUAACGAUAACGGUCCUAAGGUAGCGAAAUUCCUUGUCGGGUAAGUUCCGACCCGCACGAAAGGCGUAAUGAUUUGGAUGCUGUCUCGGAGAGGGGCUCGGUGAAAUAGACUUGUCUGUGAAGAUGCGGACUACCUGCACCAGGACAGAAAGACCCUAUGAAGCUUUACUGUAACUUGAAAUUGAAAUUGGACUUUAUUCGCGCAGUAUAGGUGGGAGGCGUUGAUUAUAAUCUUGUGGGAUUAUUGGAGCCAUCAGUGAGAUACCACUCUUGUAAUGUUAGAUUUCUAACUUUGAAUCAUUAUCUGGUCAGAGGACAGUUUCAGGCGGGCAGUUUGACUGGGGCGGUCGCCUCCUAAACGGUAACGGAGGCGUACAAAGGUUUCCUCUGAACGGUUAGAAAUCGUAUCUAGAGUGUAAAGGCAUAAGGAAGCUUGACUGUGAGACCUACAAGUCGAGCAGGGACGAAAGUCGGUCUUAGUGAUCUGACGGUACUGAGUGGAAAGGCCGUCACUCAACGGAUAAAAGUUACUCUAAGGAUAACAGGCUGAUCUCCCCCAAGAGUUCACAUCGACGGGGAGGUUUGGCACCUCGAUGUCGGCUCAUCGCAUCCUGGGGCGGUAGUACGUCCCAAGGGUUGGGCUGUUCGCCCAUGAAAGCGGUACGCGAGCUGGGUUCAGAACGUCGUGAGACAGUUCGGUCCAUAUCCGGUGUAGGCGCUAGAAUAUUGAGAGGAGCCUUCUUUAGUACGAGAGGACCGAGAAGGACAUACCUCUGGUGUGCCAGUUAUCGUGCCAACGGUAAACGCUGGGUAGCUAUGUAUGGAGUGGAUAACCGCUGAAAGCAUCUAAGUGGGAAGCCCACCUCAAGAUAAG
rnacentral:rRNA from 1 species